rnacentral:rRNA from 1 species
CAGUCGCCGCGGGAAUACGUAGGUGGCAAGCGUUGUCCGGAAUUAUUGGGCGUAAAGGGCUCGCAGGCGGUUUCUUAAGUCAGAUGUGAAAGCCCCCGGCUCAACCGGGGAGGGUCAUUGGAAACUGGGAAACUUGAGUGCAGAAGAGGAGAGUGGAAUUCCACGUGUAGCGGUGAAAUGCGUAGAGAUGUGGAGGAACACCAGUGGCGAAGGCGACUCUCUGGUCUGUAACUGACGCUGAGGAGCGAAAGCGUGGGGAGCGAACAGGAUUAGAUACCCCAGUAGUCCCUGUCUCUUAUAC